CGCCCAACCGCCCAGAAAGGAGUGAGGCAGGAGGCGGGGGCAAGGCGCGCAAGCGCGGAAGGAGGGGACGCGGCGCGCAACCGCCAGGGAGGCUGGAUUGGCCCGCGGAGACAGAGGCCGCGGCGCGCAGGAGGGGCGGCGGCCGCCGGCACUCUGUUCCCUUGAAGAUUCAAUCUCCUGUGUGACUCCUGCAAAUACUGGGAUCUUUUUAGAAUUUCCUCUCUAAGAGCCAUUCACAAAGUGGUGAGUUCAUUUGCCCACAGUCCACAUGGCAGCCAAUAGCAAAGCCAAGCAGCAGCUGUGCCUGGGUCUCCUUCUCCUGGGAGCCCAGGAAUAAAUUAUUCAAAAAAUAAUUAGCAAAAAGCUUUACCUUGUUUUAUUUAUUUAGUUGGUGA
rnacentral:lncRNA from 1 species